GGGUGAUUAGCUCAGCUGGGAGAGCACCUCCCUUACAAGGAGGGGGUCGGCGGUUCCGUCAUCACCCACCA
rnacentral:tRNA from 1 species